GGAAAUUCUUAAAGGUGUGCCUAAAUUUGCACCUCGGAGCCCAUGAAUUUUAGCUUGCUCCUCUGAUUUAGCGGCGGACGGGUGAGUAACACGUGGGCAACCUGCCCUGCAGACUGGGAUAACUUCGGGAAACCGGAGCUAAUACCGGAUAAUCCAUUUUACUUCAUGGUGAAAUGUUGAAAGGCGCUUUCGCGCCACUGCAGGAUGGGCCCGCGGUGCAUUAGCUAGUUGGUGGGGUAACGGCCUACCAAGGCGACGAUGCAUAGCCGACCUGAGAGGGUGAUCGGCCACAUUGGGACUGAACACGGCCCAAACUCCUACGGGAGGCAGCAGUAGGGAAUCUUCCACAAUGGACAAAGUCUGAUGGAGCAACGCCGCGUGAUGAUGAAGGUUUUCGGAUCGAAAACUCUGUUGUAAGGGAAGAACAAGUACUUAGGAAAUGAACUACCUUGACGGUACCUUAUUAAAAGCCACGGCUAACUACGUGCCCCCAAAUACUUGGUGGCAAGCGUUGUCCGGAUUUAUUGGGUAAAGCGCG
rnacentral:rRNA from 1 species